GAAGAUCAAAGAGUAUUUCUUUGCAGACUUCACCCAGGAAUUGGUACUGAGCUGGAUGCUGAAGCACUUAAUUACCGUAUGUCGAGUGGUUCAAGAGACAGAAGAUGUACCUCAAAGAAUCUGUCCCAAAAACUGACAGUUGCUUGAAGCAUUUCUUGUUCAUGACACCUUCAUGAUAGGACCAUUAUCGGGUUGAAAUAUCUGGUAGACUAUCAGGUUGCCCCCUCAGUUCUUCUGUUAGCUGCUCUUAGAUAAGGCCUUCAAGCCUCAAGUAUCUCUCUCACACACUGAGUCCAUCUGUUUGUUUUCCUGAGGUGCAGAUAGUUGACAUCUGCUUUAGGUCAGAUCAGUCCAAACAACAAGCAAGGUUUAUGCCCUGGAGGCGUUUUGUUUGUGUGAGAUUGUUGGUGUUGAAUUCUUAGCUGCACCAUUUCCUUUCUCCGGCAGAAUGGUGCACAAGUUGCAGUGAAUUUGUUGUUGAUGUUCUGAUGCCUUGAUGGUGUGGAGCUCCUGCUCAAUGCCAAGGCGCUGCAGAUGUCUAAUUCAGGACAGACAAAGUGGGAGAUCUGCAG